AGAGUUUGAUCAUGGCUCAGGAUGAACGCUGGCGGUGUGCUUAAUACAUGCAAGUCGAACGAGGAGCUUUUGUCUUCGGACGGGAGAAUUCCUAGUGGCGAACGGGUGAGUAACGCGUUGGUGACCUGCCCCAAAGAAGGGGAUAACAGUUCGAAAGGACUGCUAAUACCCUAUGUGAUCAGUUGGAUUAGACGCCUUCUGAUUAAAGGAGUAAUCCGCUUUGGGAGGGACCUGCGUCCCAUCAGCUAGUUGGUAGGGUAACGGCCUACCAAGGCAAUGACGGGUAGGGGACCUGAGAGGGUGACCCCCCACAAUGGCACUGAAACACGGGCCAUACACCUACGGGUGGCAGCAGUAGGGAAUAUUGGACAAUGGGCGAAAGCCUGAUCCAGCAACACCGCGUGCACGAUGACGGCCUUCGGGUUGUAAAGUGCUUUUAGAGGAGAUGAGAAAGGACAGUAUCCUCUGAAUAAGCCUCGGCGAACUACGUGCCAGCAGCCGCGGUAAAACGUAGGAGGCAAGCGUUAUCCGGAUUUAUUGGGCGUAAAGCGUGUGCAGGCGGUCUAGCAAGUUGGAUGUGAAAGCUCCCGGCUUAACUGNNAGAGGUCGUUCAAUACUGUUAGACUAGAGAAUGGGAGAGGGAGGUGGAAUUCCGGGUGUAGUGGUGAAAUGCGUAGAUAUCCGGAGGAACACCAGUGGCGAAAGCGGCCUCCUAGACCAUUUCUGACGCUAAGACACGAAAGCUAGGGUAGCAAACGGGAUUAGAGACCCCGGUAGUCCUAGCUGUAAACGAUGUANACUUGGUGUUGGCGNAGUUAAAUCUGCCAGUACCGUAGCUAACGNNANAAGUCUACCGNCNGGGGACUACGAUCGCANAU
rnacentral:rRNA from 1 species